rnacentral:tRNA from 1 species
GGGCAAGUGGCGGAACUGGCAGACGCGUAGCUCUCAAAAAGCUAUGAUCGCAAGAUCAUGUGGGUUCGACUCCCACCUUGCCCA